GAUGAACGCUGGCGGCGUGCCUAAUACAUGCAAGUCGAGCGAACAGAUGAGGAGCUUGCUCCUCUGACGUUAGCGGCGGACGGGUGAGUAACACGUGGAUAACCUACCUAUAAGACUGGGAUAACUUCGGGAAACCGGAGCUAAUACCGGAUAAUAUAUUGAACCGCAUGGUUCAAUAGUGAAAGACGGUUUUGCUGUCACUUAUAGAUGGAUCCGCGCCGCAUUAGCUAGUUGGUAAGGUAACGGCUUACCAAGGCAACGAUGCGUAGCCGACCUGAGAGGGUGAUCGGCCACACUGGAACUGAGACACGGUCCAGACUCCUACGGGAGGCAGCAGUAGGGAAUCUUCCGCAAUGGGCGAAAGCCUGACGGAGCAACGCCGCGUGAGUGAUGAAGGUCUUCGGAUCGUAAAACUCUGUUAUUAGGGAAGAACAAAUGUGAAAGUAACUAUGCACGUCUUGACGGUACCUAAUCAGAAAGCCACGGCUAACUACGUG
rnacentral:rRNA from 1 species